UACAGAGGUCCCAAGCGUUGUUCGGAUUCACUGGGCGUAAAGGGUGCGUAGGUGGCCAGGUAAGUUUGGUGUGAAAGCUCGGAGCUUAACUCCGAAAAGUCAUUGAAUACUAUCUGGCUGGAGGGUCGGAGGGGAGACUGGAAUUCUUGGUGUAGCAGUGAAAUGCGUAGAUAUCGAGAGGAACACCAGUGGCGAAGGCGAGUCUCUGGACGACUCCUGACACUGAGGCACGAAAGCUAGGGGAGCAAACAGG
rnacentral:rRNA from 1 species